rnacentral:rRNA from 1 species
CCUACGGGGGGCUGCAGUGGGGGAUAUUGCACAAUGGGGGGAACCCUGAUGCAGCGACGCCGCGUGAGCGAAGAAGUACCUCGGUAUGUAAAGCUCUAUCAGCAGGGAAGAAAAUGACGGUACCUGACUAAGAAGCCCCGGCUAAAUACGUGCCAGCAGCCGCGGUAAUACGUAGGGGGCAAGCGUUAUCCGGAUUUACCGGGUGUAAAGGGAGCGCAGGCGGCCUGCCAAGUCUGGUGUGAAAACCCGGGGCCCAACCCCGUGCCUGCAUUGGAAACUGGCGGGCUGGAGUGUCGGAGUGGCAGGCGGAAUUCCUAGUGUAGCGGUGAAAUGCGUAGAUAGUAGGAGGAACACCGGUGGCGAAGGCGGCAUACCGGCGCCCAACUGACGCGGAAGCACGAAAGCGUGGGUAUCGAACAGGAUUAGAUACCCGGGUAGUC